AGCAGCCGCCGCGGUAAUACGUAGGUCCCGAGCGUUGUCCGGAUUUAUUGGGCGUAAAGGGAGCGCAGGCGGUUUAGUAAGUCUGGAGUUAAAGGCAUUGGCUCAACCAAUGUAUGCUUUGGAAACUGUUUGACUUGAGUGCAGAAGGGGAGAGUGGAAUUCCAUGUGUAGCGGAGAAAUGCGUAGAUAUAUGGAGGAACACCGGUGGCGAAAGCGGCUCUCUGGUCUGUCACUGACGCUGAGGCUCGAAAGCGUGGGUAGCGAACAGGAUUAGAUACCCGAGUAGUCCCUGUCUCUUAUACA
rnacentral:rRNA from 1 species